AGUGAACGCUGGCGGUAGGCCUAACACAUGCAAGUCGAACGGCAGCACAGUAAGAGCUUGCUCUUACGGGUGGCGAGUGGCGGACGGGUGAGGAAUACAUCGGAAUCUACUCUUUCGUGGGGGUUAACGUAGGGAAACUUACGCUAAGACCGCAUACGACCUACGGGUGAAAGCAGGGGAUCUUCGGACCUGGCGCGAAUGAAUGAGCCGAUGUCGGAUUAGCUAGUUGGCGGGGUAAUGGCCCACCAAGGCGACGAUCCGUAGCUGGUGUGAGAGGAUGGUAGGCCACACUGGAACUGAGACACGGUCCAGACUCCUACGGGAGGCAGCAGUGGGGAAUAUUGGACAAUGGGCGCAAGCCUGAUCCAGCCAUACCGCGUGGGUGAAGACGGCCUUCGGGUUGUAAAGCCCUUUUGUUGGGAAAGAAAAGCAGCAGGUUAAUACCCCGCUGUUCUGACGGUACCCAAAGAAUAAGCACCGGCUAACUUCGUG
rnacentral:rRNA from 1 species